GAUGCAUACAUGAAAGUGUUACUCCGCUGAUUAUUUGAUGAAAGUAUGUGAAGAAAAACGCAGUAAAAUUGUCUACAUCAUAAGGAUACCAAGCUUCCAAUGGAAGAAUCAAAAACGUGCCAGCUUCUAAUAUCGAUUGCACUUUCAACAUCGAGGCUCUAUAAAAAAUCAAUGUUACUUCAUUGCCGUACCAACAAAAGAAGAAUAAUUCUAUCACGACCGCCGAAAAGAAUUGCAUAGUCAUCAUGAAUUCUACACUUGCUAUGUGUUGCGUUGAUAGUAAAAAGAUGCUCAAGCACAAAUUUGGAUCUCCAGUUGAGCGCAAGUCUGCAGCAGCAGAGCGAUAAUGAGGCAGUCUUUGGCAGCGUGGACUAAAGUGGCGAUGCCAGUUCCAAAUGAUUGAUGCCAGAACAGUAACCAGUAGCAGCCAGGAUUCUCAACGUUGC